GAAAUUGAAUUUUAUUGUGGACCCUUCUCUGUGGGCCCAUCUUAGUGUCCCCAUGCCAGAGUGUAUUACAUCCUCAAACCAUUGCCCAGCCUCCUUACAUGUGGGCUGUGAGCAUUGAAGGCGGUUGUAUAGUG